rnacentral:rRNA from 1 species
CGCCUGCCCUGUGACUUAGUUUAACGGCCGCGGUACCUUAACCGUGCAAAGGUAGCACAAUCAAUCGUCCUCUAAAUAGGGACUAGUAUGAAUGGCUUCACGAGGGCCUAACUGUCUCCCCUUUUUAAUCAAUGAAACUGAUCUUCUCGUGAAGAAGCGAGAAUAGAAAUAUAAGACGAGAAGACCCUAUGGAGCUUUAAACCCAUUACCAUCUGCCCUUAUUACACCCGAACAAUUGGCAGCCCUGUUCUUAAAUGGUUUUCGGCUGGGGUGGCCCUGGAGUAAAACAUACCCUCCAGACUGAACGGUUUAAACCCCUAAUCCUAGAAUUACAACUCAAAGAAUCAAUACUUUGACAUAAUUGACCCAAUAAAUUGAUCAACGAACCAAGUUACCCUAGGGAUAACAGCGCAAUCCAUUUCAAGAGCCCCUAUCGACAAAUGGGUUUACGACCUCGAUGUUGGAUCAGGGUGUCCUAGCGGCGCAGCCGCUGCUAAAGGUUCGUUUGUUCAACGAUUAAUAACCCUACGUGAUCU